GUCUGCUGGUUGCCUGGCAACUGCACCUGAUGACAGGACUUUAGGGAGUCACUGUGCCCAACCAAGAAAUAUAGUUUAUGACAACAACAUGCAUGCUUUCUGCAGAGCUCUUCGACUGAGAAGAACUGACUGGAGUUAACAACAUCCAUCCCUCCACGCUGCUGCGACAAUGGAGUUGCGGAGAGGCAAAGACAAAGCACUCGUCACUCAUCUGUGGUCUGUAUGUGUCCAUCUGGAAAAGACAUUGGAACAAACAGGUUGUAGGGGCAACUGGAGGCUCUCUGUCUCCUCUCUCUCUUUCGCUCUUGAAAUGCCUCCCAGACCUGGUGGUGUCUGUGACAGGCCCUCUCCUGGUGAGCUAGCCUCCAUGAUGAAUGGCCACCUUUCCACUCUUUAUCGCCCCACUAAAUCAUGCGCUUACCAUGCUUUUAUGACCAAUUUUUGCUGCUUUGUUUUACUCCCCCCGUUUUUUGAAUGAAACUCCAUUUGCAGUGUUUUUUUUGGGGGGUUUUUUUGCAUACUGUUCUUUACAUCAUAUUGAUCUCUGAGGGUUUAUCAUUGUAUUGGUAUUCGGGUGGAGAGCUGAGAUCUAGCUUUAUUAAUCAAAUUCACUGAGACAAACGUGUAUAUGUUGUGUUGUCACAUUACAGUGCCACUCACUGAAACGCUCAGUCCUGCUGUGUGUUUACCUGUUAGCCUGUUUGCUAACAGCUAAAUAUAUUCUACAGCUUUAAAGACAUGCAUGUGUCAAACCUUGUUUGGUCUGGAGAAAUGUUCCCUAGAAAAUGCUGUUAUCUAAAGACCAAAUAUCUCCAGAAUACUUAUUUUCAUUUAUUCGAUGUAUCAGGUACAUAGCACUGCUGUCUUUUAUUUCUAUUGUGGAUUCUAUAAUGACAUAAAUUGUUUAUGUGAACGAGGGUCACAUUUGGAGUUGGUUGAAGCCUAGAGCCCAGACUGUAUGACUGUCUUUCCAUUUUGCAUGCAUUGGAGUUGGGAUUGCAUGGAAGGAGACAUUAUUUUCAUCUAACAUAUGUAUAUAGAAAGAAAGAAAGAAAGAAAGAAAGAAAGAAAGAAAGAAAGAAAGAAAGAAGAACACAAAAAAGACAAGAGGUCCACAUCACUGAGUCAAACAAAUGAAAGAGGGUUACUGGAGAGAUUUUACCCAAACAUAUGAUUACUAUGUUGAAUUAAUUAAAUAAGGUAUCAAUCAAUAAUACUUAAAGAAUACUACUAUUUUUUAAAGACAAAAAGGGACACACAUAAAUAUUAAGUACAUUUUAUCUCUAAAACUGUUUUUAAACUAGCUUGAUGAUGCAGUGCUGUAAUCAUCUUCGGUUCCAGCACAGAUUAGAGGAGAGGCAGGUUCGCUCAGAUAUAGUGUACUUUUUCUCCCCCUAGUGGACGAAGAUAAAUCCUGUCAUGCCAGUUGUCCUGAAUGAUGUUCCUCUCUGUGAGAUUGAUUUCCUUAUCCACAGGGAUUAAUCGAUUAAUGAAAAAAAAACAUUUAAAACUAACAUUUAUUUAUUUUAUGACUGAUUUAUAUUAUAUUCAGUUAACACACUGCUAAGACUUUUAAAGGAGAAUUGUUUAGUUAUUGCAUCACAGUGUACAUGUUUAAUUUUAAGGAAAGGUUUUUAGAUUCACAAGCUAGACAGUAAAUGUUCAUUAGUCAUUUUUAACCCUCUCCGUGAUGGGAUC